rnacentral:rRNA from 1 species
AUUGAACGCUGGCGGCAGGCUUAACACAUGCAAGUCGAACGAGUGGCGGACGGGUGAGCAAUGCUUGGGAAUCUAGCUUAUGGAGGGGGAUAACUACGGGAAACUGUAGCUACUACCGCGUACCAUCGGAUGAACCCAUAUGGGAUUAGCUAGUAGGUGGGGUAAAGGCUCACCUAGGCGACGAUCUCUAGCUGGGCUGAGAGGAUGAUCAGCCACACUGGGACUGAGACACGGCCCAGACUCCUACGGGAGGCAGCAGUGGGGAAUAUUGCGCAAUGGGGGCAACCUGACGCAGCCAUGCCGCGUGAAUGAAGAAGGCCUUCGGGUUGUAAAGUUCUUUCGGUAGCGAGGCGUUAACUACAGAAGAAGCACCGGCUAACUCCGUGCCAGCAGCCGCGGUAAUAC